rnacentral:rRNA from 1 species
UAGGGAAUCUUCGGCAAUGGGGGGAACCCUGACCGAGCAACGCCGCGUGAGUGAAGAAGGUUUUCGGAUCGUAAAGCUCUGUUGUUAAGGAAGAACGAGUGUGAGAAUGGAAAGUUCAUGCUGUGACGGUACUUAACCAGAAAGGGACGGCUAACUACGUGCCAGCAGCCGCGGUAAUACGUAGGUCCCGAGCGUUGUCCGGAUUUAUUGGGCGUAAAGCGAGCGCAGGCGGUUAGAAAAGUCUGAAGUGAAAGGCAGUGGCUCAACCAUUGUAGGCUUUGGAAACUGUUUAACUUGAGGGCAGAAGGGGAGAGUGGAAUUCCAUGUGUAGCGGUGAAAUGCGUAGAUAUAUGGAGGAACACCGGUGGCGAAAGCGGCUCUCUGGGCUGUAACUGACGCGGAGGCUCGAAAGCGUGGGGAGCGAACAGG